rnacentral:lncRNA from 1 species
CGACAAUUUUUUACACGUGUAGUUAUGGUGUUCAAAAUAUACAAAAAAAUUUGCAAAGACACUGAUGGAUAAGGACGUACAUUCUCUGAAUCCUGUCAGGUGAGCAAUCAACCCUGAGAUUGUUUUGUACCCGGCACCUCCUUGAGACUUUUUACACUCCCCGGCCCUUGGGAAAGGUCAAAAUAAUAGAUCAAAGUGAAAAUUUGACUGCAUAUUUCUAUGUGUUGCUUAGGGUCUACACUUUAAAAUUGAAACAGUGAUUACCAUUCAUCUCUGUGUCAAGUACCCUUUUAAUGCAAUGUUUCGAAAGAAACUUUGUAGUAAUGUAAUGAAGGGCAAAAUUUGAUAAGUCGUACAGUCAAAUGUACCCCAGGAUCCCGAAAUCGUUAUGGUGUUAUUGACAUGUUAGAAGAAGUUCUUGAAGUUUUUGGUAAUUUGUAUAGUAAUUAAUAUAAUAAAAAAAAUAUUGCCUAAAGAGAAAACGGGUAUUGGUUACCUCUCUUCCUUCUGAAAUUUGCCAGUGAAUAAUUAAUGAGGUUACACCAAUAUGGCUGCCUCGAGUCUCGUUAUCUCGUGUUUGAAACGAUCUAAAACUCUUUUGUUAUUUUAUAAUGACCAAUAACAAGGCUUAAAUUUUUUAUUUAAUUUAAUACGACGUUUCGGAGUUUACUCCAUCAUCAGGUAAAAACUAAAAUUUGCCAUUUUGGCAAAUUUGUAUAUAUAGUUUUUACCUGAUGAUGGAAUAAACUCCGAAACGUUGUAUUAAAUUAAAUAAAAAAUUUAAGCCUUGUUAUUGGUUAUUAUAAAAAACAAAAUAAUAUAUUAUUCAAAUGAGGCAAAGGGAAAGUUCGAUACUAAAUGUACUGAAGAAUCUAAAACUCAUUAGAAGAGAUGUGGGAAGCUAUAUCUUUCUAAUUUCGUAGAAGACGAUAAUAUCAGCUUGAUAGCACAACUAAUUUAAACACGUAUAACGAUUUGAUUCAUAAGGAGUGUGACAGAUUUAAGAAUCUAUACAAAACAAGUGUAGAUCCAAAGAUCGAUCUUGGAGUUACAAGCACUUGUUUUGUAUUCUUUGAAAAUAUUCAGUGGUUCUAAAAAUCUAUCCUCAUUAUAAAUAUUCUGGCUUCAAAAUCAAUUCCCUGAAUUGAACAGGUUAAUUGCUCUAUCCAGCCCUAGUUUGGAGAUCAGUGCCCAAAAGCGUCUAUACAUUUGAAGUUGACGGUUGACAAUCAUGUGUGAUACCGUAUAAACCUAGCACAUGGUCAUUCCCUAACGUAUAUUAAUUUAAUUUGGUUUUUUGCUUUAAAUUUCAGAGUACGAGUUCCACUGUCCAACUUUCCUGAGUUUAGUAAGGCAUUUGGAUGCCCGGCCCGGAAAAACACUUGCGCGGUUUGGUAGUUCGGUUUUAGCUAUAUAUCCCUAGUUAACAGAAAAUAUAGGCCUAUACAUGGCGAGGGCUUAGACUGGUGAUCUUCGAAGUGUUUCAGUCUUUGAAGAUCACCAAUCUAAGACCUUUAGUUUGCUAAGAGUUUUGUUAAUUAGGAAACUUAAGGUGUAGUACGAAUCUUUUCAGUGUCUUAAGACCCAUUUACACUUGGUCGUUCCUAAGUCGAGAAAAAGUUUACAAGAUGGCGACUAUUUUUUAACAUCGUUAGAAUAUGAAAAACAACAGCAAGGUACUUAAAACAAUCCCAAAUCUUACCCUAAACCUAACCCCAAUCCCAACCCAGCAUGAAACUUCGAAAACCCCACUCACGUCCAUCCCUUUUAGCCAUUACCUUGCAAGAUUUUGCUGCGAUUUCUACUGGGAUUUUCUUCUGAUGCAUGUAAACGAGUUUACAUAUGAAUAUCAAUGGAAUAUACUGAGUAUAGGUACUCUUAUAUGAGCAUUCAUUCAAUUCUGAUCCACUCGUUCACAUCCAUUGGAAGAAGAUAAUCGCAACAGAAUUGCAAGUGUGUAUAACUGGUCCUUUAGACGGCCGAGUCUAAUGUGUUUUAUAUCUGAUAAAGCGCUCAGUCUUGUGUUUUAAAUAGUAUUUAUACUUAAGGUAAACGAUUAAUAAAAUAAUUGCGGUUCCCAAACGAAAUUUGACAUCGCUUUAUAUUCGCUGCGUAAAGUUCCAUCUUGCAUGGGCUCAAUAUUUUAGUAAAACCACAGAAUAGUGGUACGUAAAACAGGGAUGUCUUCGUGCUUGUUGUGCAAUUGUUUUGCGCAUGCUCCAGAGCACCGUACUGUUUUACUAUGUCUCGAUGAUAUAAUCGAGCGACGAUUGAUGAUAUAUAAUCUUGAUGAUAUAAAGUGUUUGAUACACAGAGAACUUAAAUGUGUUUUUUGCCGUGAUUCAUAAAUCAUAAUAAUUAUUUUUGUAAUUGACAUUGAGUGUUUCUGUA